GAUAAACGCUGGCGGCGUGCUUAACACAUGCAAGUCGAACGGAAAGGCCCAAGCUUGCUUGGGUACUCGAGUGGCGAACGGGUGAGUAACACGUGGGUGAUCUGCCCUGCACUUCGGGAUAAGCCUGGGAAACUGGGUCUAAUACCGGAUAGGACCACAUUUUGGAUGGUGUGGUGGAAAGUUUUUCGGUGUGGGAUGAGCUCGCGGCCUAUCAGCUUGUUGGUGGGGUAAUGGCCUACCAAGGCGUCGACGGGUAGCCGGCCUGAGAGGGUGUACGGCCACAUUGGGACUGAGAUACGGCCCAGACUCCUACGGGAGGCAGCAGUGGGGAAUAUUGCACAAUGGGCGCAAGCCUGAUGCAGCGACGCCGCGUGGGGGAUGACGGCCUUCGGGUUGUAAACUCCUUUCGCUAGGGACGAAGCGUUAUGUGACGGUACCUGGAGAAGAAGCACCGGCUAACUACGUG
rnacentral:rRNA from 1 species